rnacentral:lncRNA from 1 species
UUUUAACAGAAUCCCCAGGGAUUGCCAUGUGUACUAAAGUUGGUGGAGCUUUGGUCUAACUCAUCGUGGGGCCGUCUGGUUUAAAGUGGUAUUGCAGCAUUGAAAGUUUAAGGAGAGACAAGGUCCAUGAGCCAGAAUCUGGUAUGGUGGUGGCAGAGUGACUGUUUCCUGUAUUUGGGCACUGCCAGCAGCUUGAUUCAGAAGACAGAUGACAAAUUUGUCACCGGGCUGCCUGGAUAAACACCAAGACCAUGGGAUCAUUUGCUUAAAGGAAAGGAGCUCGUCAGCGAUAUGAGACUCAUUUGAACAAGAGAGUCCAGGCUACCACAUCAUACCAAAUGUGCCUUGAAUAGUCAGGAGCUAUAUUAAGAGACUUACUAUAAGGAAUCCCUCACGUGCCUGAGGAGGCUGAGUCCCA